rnacentral:rRNA from 1 species
CUUGGUCAUUUAGAGGAAGUAAAAGUCGUAACAAGGUUUCCGUAGGUGAACCUGCGGAAGGAUCAUUAACCUUUCAAAACAGGGUGCGUCGCGGCCCCCGAGGUGCGGAAACAAGCCUCGAGCGGUUUGGGGUCCUCCCCUUCACGCGCGCACGACUGCAUCCUUACUUUACGAGCACCUUCUGUUCUCCCUCGGCGGGGCAACCUGCCGUUGGAACCGAAUAAACUCUUUUUGCAUCUAGCAUUACCUGUUCCGAAACAAACAAUCGUUACAACUUUCAACAAUGGAUCUCUUGGCUCUGGCAUCGAUGAAGAACGCAGCGAAAUGCGAUAAGUAGUGUGAAUUGCAGAAUUCAGUGAAUCAUCGAAUCUUUGAACGCACAUUGCGCCCCUGGUAUUCCGUGGGGCAUGCCUGUUCGAGCGUCAUCUACACCCUCAAGCUCUGCUUGGUGUUGGGCGUCUGUCCCGCCUCCGCGCGUGGACUCGCCCCAAAUUCAUUGGCAGCGGUCCUUGCCUCCUCUCGCGCAGCACAUUGCGCUUCUUGAGGGGCUCCGGUUCGCGUCCAACAAGCACAUUUACCGUCUUUGACCUCGGAUCAGGUAGGGAUACCCGCUGAACUUAAGCAUAUCAAUAAGCGGAGGA